rnacentral:lncRNA from 1 species
GUGCCAAAAUGUUCCUCUAGCUUGGUGGGCUUGCAAAGUGACACAUCCAAUUGAGAUGCUUGGCAAGCUGCGUGUGGAAAGUUUUCACAUCUUGUCAUCCUUGUUUUAAGGAGUCUUCCCUGUCAGCACAGAAAAGGUAUGUGGAGACCAAAGCCAAGGGGCUGUUUUCCUGAGGGAAUUCACACUGAUUCGAAGAGAGAGCCUUCAUGAAGAUUUCCUGUCUGACUUCUUGAAUGGUCACAAAACUGAAGACCCGGUAUUUGUACCCUUCUCAGUGUGGGCAAUACACAUCUGUACACCUCUCAAGACCAUGGUGGUGGAGCCUGAUUUUCUGAGCACUGCAUGUACCAGAAAAAUCUCACUGCUGCUGGCAGAGUCUGUCAUGUAGCACUCAGAAAUGUGUCAUGAGAAAUGAUCCCCAAUCUCAGUUGAGAAACAUCACAACAGAUGAAGAAGUAAGAAUAAGCAUGGCAGCUCAGACUCGAAUGGUUUGCAAAGGACAGAUACAAUCCUGUCAGCCCCAUGCUUGAGUUCUGGCUUUCAUCUCCACUGAUGUUUUUCAACACCAAAGAAACUUAUCAAGCUAUGAAGUAUUCACUCUGGAUAACUUCCUGAUUGAGUCCCUCUGAAAAUUCAUCUAUGUGCUAUAACUCAAGAGGUCAGUUUGUUACUGAAUGAUUGGACAGUUUAUCAGUGUUUUGAAGUUAGAGGAAAGAAAUUGAUUUCCCAAAAGGAGUGAAAUUUAGUCCAGAAGUGAAUUCAG